GGUUAAGCGACUAAGCGUACACGGUGGAUGCCCUGGCAGUCAGAGGCGAUGAAGGACGUGCUAAUCUGCGAUAAGCGUCGGUAAGGUGAUAUGAACCGUUAUAACCGGCGAUUUCCGAAUGGGGAAACCCAGUGUGUUUCGACACACUAUCAUUAACUGAAUCCAUAGGUUAAUGAGGCGAACCGGGGGAACUGAAACAUCUAAGUACCCCGAGGAAAAGAAAUCAACCGAGAUUCCCCCAGUAGCGGCGAGCGAACGGGGAGCAGCCCAGAGCCUGAAUCAGUGUGUGUGUUAGUGGAAGCGUCUGGAAAGGCGCGCGAUACAGGGUGACAGCCCCGUACACAAAAAUGCACAUGCUGUGAGCUCGAUGAGUAGGGCGGGACACGUGGUAUCCUGUCUGAAUAUGGGGGGACCAUCCUCCAAGGCUAAAUACUCCUGACUGACCGAUAGUGAACCAGUACCGUGAGGGAAAGGCGAAAAGAACCCCGGCGAGGGGAGUGAAAAAGAACCUGAAACCGUGUACGUACAAGCAGUGGGAGCACGCUUAGGCGUGUGACUGCGUACCUUUUGUAUAAUGGGUCAGCGACUUAUAUUCUGUAGCAAGGUUAACCGAAUAGGGGAGCCGAAGGGAAACCGAGUCUUAACUGGGCGUUAAGUUGCAGGGUAUAGACCCGAAACCCGGUGAUCUAGCCAUGGGCAGGUUGAAGGUUGGGUAACACUAACUGGAGGACCGAACCGACUAAUGUUGAAAAAUUAGCGGAUGACUUGUGGCUGGGGGUGAAAGGCCAAUCAAACCGGGAGAUAGCUGGUUCUCCCCGAAAGCUAUUUAGGUAGCGCCUCGUGAAUUCAUCUCCGGGGGUAGAGCACUGUUUCGGCAAGGGGGUCAUCCCGACUUACCAACCCGAUGCAAACUGCGAAUACCGGAGAAUGUUAUCACGGGAGACACACGGCGGGUGCUAACGUCCGUCGUGAAGAGGGAAACAACCCAGACCGCCAGCUAAGGUCCCAAAGUCAUGGUUAAGUGGGAAACGAUGUGGGAAGGCCCAGACAGCCAGGAUGUUGGCUUAGAAGCAGCCAUCAUUUAAAGAAAGCGUAAUAGCUCACUGGUCGAGUCGGCCUGCGCGGAAGAUGUAACGGGGCUAAACCAUGCACCGAAGCUGCGGCAGCGACGCUGAUGCGUUGUUGGGUAGGGGAGCGUUCUGUAAGCCUGCGAAGGUGUGCUGUGAGGCAUGCUGGAGGUAUCAGAAGUGCGAAUGCUGACAUAAGUAACGAUAAAGCGGGUGAAAAGCCCGCUCGCCGGAAGACCAAGGGUUCCUGUCCAACGUUAAUCGGGGCAGGGUGAGUCGACCCCUAAGGCGAGGCCGAAAGGCGUAGUCGAUGGGAAACAGGUUAAUAUUCCUGUACUUGGUGUUACUGCGAAGGGGGGACGGAGAAGGCUAUGUUGGCCGGGCGACGGUUGUCCCGGUUUAAGCGUGUAGGCUGGUUUUCCAGGCAAAUCCGGAAAAUCAAGGCUGAGGCGUGAUGACGAGGCACUACGGUGCUGAAGCAACAAAUGCCCUGCUUCCAGGAAAAGCCUCUAAGCAUCAGGUAACAUCAAAUCGUACCCCAAACCGACACAGGUGGUCAGGUAGAGAAUACCAAGGCGCUUGAGAGAACUCGGGUGAAGGAACUAGGCAAAAUGGUGCCGUAACUUCGGGAGAAGGCACGCUGAUAUGUAGGUGAAGCGACUUGCUCGUGGAGCUGAAAUCAGUCGAAGAUACCAGCUGGCUGCAACUGUUUAUUAAAAACACAGCACUGUGCAAACACGAAAGUGGACGUAUACGGUGUGACGCCUGCCCGGUGCCGGAAGGUUAAUUGAUGGGGUCAGCGCAAGCGAAGCUCUUGAUCGAAGCCCCGGUAAACGGCGGCCGUAACUAUAACGGUCCUAAGGUAGCGAAAUUCCUUGUCGGGUAAGUUCCGACCUGCACGAAUGGCGUAAUGAUGGCCAGGCUGUCUCCACCCGAGACUCAGUGAAAUUGAACUCGCUGUGAAGAUGCAGUGUACCCGCGGCAAGACGGAAAGACCCCGUGAACCUUUACUAUAGCUUGACACUGAACAUUGAGCCUUGAUGUGUAGGAUAGGUGGGAGGCUUGGAAGUGUGGACGCCAGUCUGCAUGGAGCCGACCUUGAAAUACCACCCUUUAAUGUUUGAUGUUCUAACGUGGACCCGUAAUCCGGGUUGCGGACAGUGUCUGGUGGGUAGUUUGACUGGGGCGGUCUCCUCCUAAAGAGUAACGGAGGAGCACGAAGGUUGGCUAAUCCUGGUCGGACAUCAGGAGGUUAGUGCAAUGGCAUAAGCCAGCUUGACUGCGAGCGUGACGGCGCGAGCAGGUGCGAAAGCAGGUCAUAGUGAUCCGGUGGUUCUGAAUGGAAGGGCCAUCGCUCAACGGAUAAAAGGUACUCCGGGGAUAACAGGCUGAUACCGCCCAAGAGUUCAUAUCGACGGCGGUGUUUGGCACCUCGAUGUCGGCUCAUCACAUCCUGGGGCUGAAGUAGGUCCCAAGGGUAUGGCUGUUCGCCAUUUAAAGUGGUACGCGAGCUGGGUUUAGAACGUCGUGAGACAGUUCGGUCCCUAUCUGCCGUGGGCGCUGGAGAACUGAGGGGGGCUGCUCCUAGUACGAGAGGACCGGAGUGGACGCAUCACUGGUGUUCGGGUUGUCAUGCCAAUGGCACUGCCCGGUAGCUAAAUGCGGAAGAGAUAAGUGCUGAAAGCAUCUAAGCACGAAACUUGCCCCGAGAUGAGUUCUCCCUGACCCUUUAAGGGUCCUGAAGGAACGUUGAAGACGACGACGUUGAU
rnacentral:rRNA from 1 species